AGACCCGAAACCCGGUGAUCUAGCCAUGGGCAGGUUGAAGGUUGGGUAACACUAACUGGAGGACCGAACCGACUAAUGUUGAAAAAUUAGCGGAUGACCUGUGGCUGGGGGUGAAAGGCCAAUCAAACCGGGAGAUAGCUGGUUCUCCCCGAAAGCUAUUUAGGUAGCGCCUCGUGAAUUCAUCUCCGGGGGUAGAGCACUGUUUCGGCUAGGGGGCCAUCCCGGCUUACCAACCCGAUGCAAACUGCGAAUACCGGAGAAUGUUAUCACGGGAGACACACGGCGGGUGCUAACGUCCGUCGUGAAGAGGGAAACAACCCAGACCGCCAGCUAAGGUCCCAAAGUCAUGGUUAAGUGGGAAACGAUGUGGGAAGGCCCAGACAGCCAGGAUGUUGGCUUAGAAGCAGCCAUCAUUUAAAGAAAGCGUAAUAGCUCACUGGUCGAGUCGGCCUGCGCGGAAGAUGUAACGGGGCUAAACCAUGCACCGAAGCUGCGGCAGCGAACGUAUCACCCAAGACAACUUUACGGAGUUGACGAUUGACGGAGCGAAGCGACGUCAAAGCGUUCAUUAAAGUCGAGUUGGCUUAGGGAUACGUUCGUUGGGUAGGGGAGCGUUCUGUAAGCCUGUGAAGGUGUGUCGUGAGGCAUGCUGGAGGUAUCAGAAGUGCGAAUGCUGACAUAAGUAACGAUAAAGCGGGUGAAAAGCCCGCUCGCCGGAAGACCAAGGGUUCCUGUCCAACGUUAAUCGGGGCAGGGUGAGUCGACCCCUAAGGCGAGGCCGAAAGG
rnacentral:rRNA from 1 species